rnacentral:rRNA from 1 species
GAUGAAUGCUGGCGGCGUGCCUAAUACAUGCAAGUCGAGCGGCAGCGCGUCUAGUUUACUAGAUGGCGGCGAGCGGCGGACGGCUGAGUAACGCGUAGGAAUGUGCCCCAAAGUGAGGAAUAACUGCCCGAAAGGGUAGCUAAUGCCGCAUAUGGUCUUCGGAUUAAAGGAUUUAUCCGCUUUGGGAGCAGCCUGCGUACGAUUAGAUAGUUGGUGAGGUAAUGGCUCACCAAGUCGACGAUCGUUAGCUGGUCUGAGAGGAUGAUCAGCCAGACUGGAACUGAGACACGGUCCAGACUCCUACGGGAGGCAGCAGUAAGGAAUCUUCCACAAUGGGCGAAAGCCUGAUGGAGCAACGCCGCGUGCAGGAUGAAGGCCUUCGGGUUGUAAACUGCUUUAUGAGUGAAGAAUAUGACGGUAACUCAUGAAUAAGCACCGGCGUAACUACGUGCCAGCAGCCGCGGUAAU